rnacentral:rRNA from 1 species
UAAUCGCGGAUCAGCAUGCCGCGGUGAAUACGUUCCCGGGCCUUGUACACACCGCCCGUCACACCAUGGGAGCCGGUAAUACCCGAAGUCAGUAGUCCAACCACGUGAGGACGCUGCCGAAGGUAGGAUUGGCGACUGGGGUGAAGUCGUAACAAGGUAGC